rnacentral:rRNA from 1 species
GACGAACGCUGGCGGCGUGCUUAACACAUGCAAGUCGAACGGAAAGGCCCUGCUUUUGUGGGGUGCUCGAGUGGCGAACGGGUGAGUAACACGUGAGUAACCUGCCCUUGACUUUGGGAUAACUUCAGGAAACUGGGGCUAAUACCGGAUAGGAGCUCCUGCUGCAUGGUGGGGGUUGGAAAGUUUCGGCGGUUGGGGAUGGACUCGCGGCUUAUCAGCUUGUUGGUGGGGUAGUGGCUUACCAAGGCUUUGACGGGUAGCCGGCCUGAGAGGGUGACCGGCCACAUUGGGACUGAGAUACGGCCCAGACUCCUACGGGAGGCAGCAGUGGGGAAUAUUGCACAAUGGGCGGAAGCCUGAUGCAGCAACGCCGCGUGCGGGAUGACGGCCUUCGGGUUGUAAACCGCUUUCGCCUGUGACGAAGUGUGAGUGACGGUAAUGGUUAAAGAAGCACCGGCUAACUACGUG